AGAGUUUGACCCUGGCUCAGGACGAACGCUGGCGGCGUGCCUAACACAUGCAAGUCGAGCGGAGACAGUGAGUAGCUUGCUAUGAGCUGUUGUAGCGGCGGACGGGUGAGUAACGCGUGAGCAACCUUUCCCAGACAGGGGAAUAACACACCGAAAGGUGUACUAAUACCGCAUAUGACCACGGGAUCACAUGGUUCUGGGGUAAAAGAUUUAUCGGUUUGGGGUGGGCUCGCGUCCGAUUAGGUAGUUGGUGAGGUAACGGCCCACCAAGCCGACGAUCGGUAGCCGACCUGAGAGGGUGAUCGGCCACAUUGGGACUGAGACACGGCCCAAACUCCUACGGGAGGCAGCAGUGGGAAUAUUGGGCAAUGGAGGAAACUCUGACCCAGCAACGCCGCGUGGAGGAAGAAGGUUUUCGGAUCGUAAACUCCUGUCCUUGGAGACGAGUAGAAGACGGUAUCCAAGGAGGAAGCCCCGGCUAACUACGUGCCAGCAGCCGCGGUAAUACGUAGGGGGCGAGCGUUGUCCGGAAUAAUUGGGCGUAAAGGGCGCGUAGGCGGCUCGGUAAGUCUGGAGUGAAAGUCCUGCUUUUAAGGUGGGAAUUGCUUUGGAUACUGUCGGGCUUGAGUGCAGGAGAGGUUAGUGGAAUUCCCAGUGUAGCGGUGAAAUGCGUAGAGAUUGGGAGGAACACCAGUGGCGAAGGCGACUAACUGGACUGUAACUGACGCUGAGGCGCGAAAGUGUGGGGAGCAAACAGGAUUAGAUACCCUGGUAGUCCACACUGUAAACGAUGAAUGCUAGGUGUAGGGGGUAUCGACCCCUUCUGUGCCGCAGUCAACACAAUAAGCAUUCCGCCUGGGGAGUACGGCCGCAAGGUUGAAACUCAAAGGAAUUGACGGGGGCCCGCACAAGCAGCGGAGCAUGUGGUUUAAUUCGACGCAACGCGAAGAACCUUACCAGGUCUUGACAUCCACUUAAACUUACAGAGAUGUAAGGUGUGCUUGCACAAAGUGAGACAGGUGGUGCAUGGUUGUCGUCAGCUCGUGUCGUGAGAUGUUGGGUUAAGUCCCGCAACGAGCGCAACCCUUAUCUUCAGUUACUAACGCGUGAGGGUGAGGACUCUGAAGAGACUGCCGGGGACAACUCGGAGGAAGGUGGGGACGACGUCAAAUCAUCAUGCCCCUUAUGACCUGGGCUACACACGUGCUACAAUGGCCACGACAGAGAGAAGCGAAAUCGCAAGGUAGAGCGGAACUCAAAAAAGUGGUCCCAGUUCGGAUUGUGGGCUGCAACCCGCCCACAUGAAGUCGGAGUUGCUAGUAAUCGCGGAUCAGCAUGCCGCGGUGAAUACGUUCCCGGGCCUUGUACACACCGCCCGUCACACCAUGGGAGUUGGGAGUGCCCAAAGCCGGUGAGGCAACCGCAAGGAGCCAGCCGUCUAAGGCAAGACCAAUGACUGGGGUGAAGUCGGAACAAGGUA
rnacentral:rRNA from 1 species